GCGAACGGGUGAGUAAUAUAUUGGAACGUACCGAGUAAUGGGGGAUAACUUGCCGAAAGGUAAGCUAAUACCGCAUACGCUCUGAGGAGGAAAGCAGGGGACCUUCGGGCCUUGCGUUAUUCGAGCGGCCAAUAUCUGAUUAGCUAGUUGGUGGGGUAAAGGCCUACCAAGGCGACGAUCAGUAGCGGGUCUGAGAGGAUGAUCCGCCACACUGGGACUGAGACACGGCCCAGACUCCUACGGGAGGCAGCAGUGGGGAAUUUUGGACAAUGGGCGCAAGCCUGAUCCAGCCAUGCCGCGUGUCUGAAGAAGGCCUUCGGGUUGUAAAGGACUUUUGUCAGGGAAGAAAAGGUUGUGGCUAAUAUCCAUGACUGAUGACGGUACCUGAAGAAUAAGCACCGGCUAACUACGUGCCAGCAGCCGCGGUAAUACGUAGGGUGCGAGCGUUAAUCGGAAUUACUGGGCGUAAAGCGAGCGCAGACGGUUACUUAAGCAGGAUGUGAAAUCCCCGGGCUCAACCU
rnacentral:rRNA from 1 species